rnacentral:tRNA from 1 species
GCCUGGGUGGCUCAGUGGUUGAGUGUCUGCCUUCGGCUCAGAUCAUAAUCCUGGGGUCCUGGGAUCAUGAGAUCAAGUCACAUAUCAGGCU